rnacentral:rRNA from 1 species
CCUACGGGGGGCUGCAGUGGGGAAUAUUGGACAAUGGGGGGAACCCUGAUCCAGCCAUGCCGCGUGUGUGAAGAAGGCCCUCGGGUUGUAAAGCACUUUCAGUGAGGAAGAACGCCUGGUGGUUAAUACCCAUCAGGAAAGACAUCACUCACAGAAGAAGCACCGGCUAACUCCGUGCCAGCAGCCGCGGUAAUACGGAGGGUGCGAGCGUUAAUCGGAAUUACUGGGCGUAAAGCGCGCGUAGGUGGCUUGAUAAGCCGGCUGUGAAAGCCCCGGGCUCAACCUGGGAACGGCAUCCGGAACUGUCAAGCUAGAGUGCAGGAGAGGAAGGUAGAAUUCCCGGUGUAGCGGUGAAAUGCGUAGAGAUCGGGAGGAAUACCAGUGGCGAAGGCGGCCUUCUGGACUGACACUGACACUGAGGUGCGAAAGCGUGGGUAGCAAACAGGAUUAGAUACCCUUGUAGUC